rnacentral:rRNA from 1 species
GCCUGUGGCCUUACAGCCCCGGAUGCACCCCAUCUCAUCUGUUCUUGGAAGCUAAGCAAGGCUCAGGCCUGGUUGGCACUCAGAUGGGAGACACAGAGAGGUUAUUUAUACAGGGAGAAGGGAGCCAUGCGAA